rnacentral:rRNA from 1 species
CCUGAACGCUGGCGGCGUGGCUAAGACAUGCAAGUCGCACGGAUGUAGCAAUACAUCAGUGGCGGACGGGUGAGUAAUUUAUCGCUAAUGUACCCUUGAGCCUGGGAUAGCUGUCCGAAAGGGCAGGUAAUACCAGAUGAAAUGAGCUUGUCGCAUGACAGGAAUCUCAAAGCAGCAAUGCACUCUUGGAGCAGGCGAUAUCGUAUCAGCUAGUUGGUGAGGUAACGGCUCACCAAGGCGAUGACGCGUAGCUGGUCUGAGAGGACGACCAGCCACAUCGGGACUGAGACACUG